rnacentral:rRNA from 1 species
GGGGAAUCUUGCGCAAUGGGCGAAAGCCUGACGCAGCGACGCCGCGUGGGUGAUGAAGGCCUUCGGGUUGUAAAGCCCUGUGGAGGGGGACGCAUAAGGGCAGCCUAAUACGCUGACCGAUGACGGUACCCCUUUAGCAAGCACCGGCUCACUCUGUGCCAGCAGCCGCGGUAAGACCGAGGGUGCAAACGUUGUUCGGAAUUACUGGGCGUAAAGCGCGUGUAGGCGGCUUGGCGAGUCGGGUGUGAAAGCCCUGGGCUCAACCUAGGAAGUGCACUCGAAACUGCUUCGCUUGAGUGUCGGAGAGGAAAGCGGAAUUCUCGGUGUAGAGGUGAAAUUCGUAGAUAUCGAGAGGAACACCGGUGGCGAAGGCGGCUUUCUGGACGAUAACUGACGCUGAGACGCGAAAGCGUGGGGAGCAAAC